CUCUUUCGUCUUACAGUGGAAAACUACAAUAAAAAACACACACAGCCGUGAAAAUGAGAUUAGAACCUUCCGACUUCACUUCCUGGAGGCUUUUGGUCGGGGCUUGAAACAAGGAAUCCUGGCAGCCCAUCCUUGUAUAUUUUGUUGCAUUAUUGAGCUCUUUGUAUUUUUCUGGAUGCAAUACUCAUUCUAGAGAAAUAUUAGAAGUCUAAUUUGAUAAUAAAAAUGAGAGGGGAUUUCAGUAUUCCAAAUAUUCUACAAAAUGGAUUACAUCUGAAAAUUCAGUCAUAACACCUACAACUGAUUUCUCAAAAUGUGCAGUUUAUAGCCCUGACUGGUGCGGC